AUUGAACGCUGGCGGCAUGCCUUACACAUGCAAGUCGAACGGCAGCACGGAGCUUGCUCUGGUGGCGAGUGGCGAACGGGUGAGUAAUAUAUCGGAACGUACCCUGGAGUGGCGGAUAACGUAGCGAAAGUUACGCUAAUACCGCAUACGAUCUAUGGAUGAAAGUGGGGGAUCGCAAGACCUCAUGCUCCUGGAGCGGCCGAUAUCUGAUUAGCUAGUUGGUGGGGUAAAGGCCUACCAAGGCAUCGAUCAGUAGCUGGUCUGAGAGGACGACCAGCCACACUGGAACUGAGACACGGUCCAGACUCCUACGGGAGGCAGCAGUGGGGAAUUUUGGACAAUGGGGGCAACCCUGAUCCAGCUAUGCCGCGUGAGUGAAGAAGGCCUUCGGGUUGUAAAGCUCUUUUGUCAGGGAAGAAACGGUGAGAGCUAAUAUCUCUUGCUAAUGACGGUACCUGAAGAAUAAGCACCGGCUAACUACGUGCCAGCCGCCGCAGUAACAC
rnacentral:rRNA from 1 species